GCAUGAGACAGGUCACUUUGCCCAAAUGACAAGUUGGUGAUGACCCGGGACUCUGUUGUGAUGCAGUGAUUGUUGGGUCAGCCCCCAGGGGCUGCAGCAUUUCACACCAGGCUGUCGCCUAGAGCACAUGGCUGCUGCCUGUGGGUCUGAGUACAGGGACCAGGGUGAUGGAGCAGGGCCUUUGGGACCAACCUGCUUCCAUUGCUAAAGGGAACGUGAGACACAGAAGGAUGAAGGAAAGUAUUCUUGUCCAACUGCAACGUGAUCUCUUAUUUCUGUUGAUUUGAUCACUGCCGCUUGUCUGUCAGAAGUAGUAAGAGAUCCUGUUCAUAUCAAGAGGUAAGGAAUGCACCUUCUCCUAGCAAUGGAGUGGAAACUAACCAAUCUGAGUGUACUUUCAGGUGAAGAAAGUGAACCUAUCCUUUGCUGUCAAAGGCUACAAGCAGUUUCAUAAGAAUAAAGCAAGAUACAUAACCAAAGCUUCUGAGGUUACAGAAGUAUUGACUUGCUCUAGCCAAGAAUAAGGAAAGCACUUAUACCUACUAGAUUAACAGUACAGCUGAUUGUAUGGAGAGAAAGAGAAACUAAUCCAGCAAUUCAUCACGCAGAAGGUGGUCAUAUUUCAAGAUGCAAGGAUGACACAUGGCUGUAGUUUACAGGAAGGAAUUAGCGGAUCCAUCCUUUUAAGGAGGUAAGAAAUAUGGGAAUGAUGUAUUGUAAUAGUCAAUGGUUCUGGUCAUCCAUUCAGGUGGAAGGAAGGUAACUGAGGAAAUCUUCAUCUCUCUAAAGAGCACAAGAAAUUGCUGUACUGAAUAAAGCACUAAAAAUGGGAGCUACCUGUUCAGAUGAAAGGAAAGUAAUUGGAAAUUCU